rnacentral:rRNA from 1 species
UACGAAGGGUGCAAGCGUUAAUCGGAAUUACUGGGCGUAAAGGGCGCGUAGGCGGCCUGAUAAGUCGGGGGUGAAAGCCUGUGGCUCAACCACAGAAUUGCCUUCGAUACUGUUAGGCUUGAGACCGGAAGAGGUAAGUGGAACUGCGAGUGUAGAGGUGAAAUUCGUAGAUAUUCGCAAGAACACCAGUGGCGAAGGCGGCUUACUGGUCCGGUUCUGACGCUGAGGCGCGAAAGCGUGGGGAGCAAACAGG